GAAGUACUAGUUAGGUCUUAGGUUUUAACAAAUCAUAAUUAAACUUUGUUAAAUGUGCAAAGAUCAAAUUAGCAUUUUAAAAUUUUAACAAAUGAAAAGCAACAUGUGUUAACGGAGCAAGGGCGCUACUUCAAAUUGGAAGAAUAGGGUUUUCUAAAGCAACCUUUUGGUUUUAAAGGGGGUGCUCUACUCGAGUGAGAUAAACUGGUUUGUUCUAACAGAAAAGAAAUGGCAGCUAUUCAGCAAAGUCUUUCCACUUCAAUCUCAUCAUCAACUUCUAAUUUCUCGGUUCGGCACAAACUCUGUCUAAGGUUACAUAUUUCAUCUCCUACGUUUUAUUUGAUUUCCUAACUCAGUUCUAGUUCUAUUAUUUUGGUGGGAUAGUUUCAAUUCAUAUGAUUUUUUAUUUGAAUCUCAUCCACUGCUUUAGUUAUCGAC
rnacentral:lncRNA from 1 species